GCCGUGAGGUGUUGCCUUAAGUGGCGCAACGAGCGCAACCCCUGUCCCUAGUUGCCAGCGGGUCAUGCCGGGAACUCUAGGGAGACUGCCGGUGCCAAACCGGAGGAAGGUGGGGAUGACGUCAAGUCAUCAUGCCCCUUAAGUCCAGGGCUGCACACAUGCUACAAUGCGCGGUACAGAGGGCUGCGAUCCCGCAAGGGGGAGCGAAUCCCAAAAAGCCGCGCUCAGUUCGGAUCGGGGUCUGCAACCCGACCCCGUGAAGUCGGAGUCGCUAGUAAUCGCAGAUCAGCAACGCUGCGGUGAAUACGUUCCCGGGCCUUGUACACACCGCCCGUCACACCACGAAAGUGGGCAACACCCGAAGCCGGUGGCCCAACCCUUUGGGAGGGAGCCGUCGAAGGUGGGGCUCGCGAUUGGGGUGAAGUCGUAACAAGGUAGCCGUACCGGAAGGUGCGGCUGGAUCACCUCCUUUCUAAGGAGCACCUUCAGGCGAAAGCCUGUAAGGAGCCCGCACCGUGCGAAUGCUGCGGUGGGGUGCUCAUAUGGCGGAGACACUGGCGAAGGUUGCGCGGACAACGGUCCGAAUCCUCAAGUACAGCCGGCGUGAGUCGGCGUGGAACGAGCUCGGAAGCGGUUUGUGUGAGCGUACAGGCACCCUGUUGAGUCCUGAAAUAAUCAGCACGCAAGUGCCGGUUGGUUUCAGACGAGACGCACACCGGUUCGAGGACCGCGGUCGUUUGACCGGAGGCUUGGGCUGAUAAGACGGUGUGUGUUCUGGUGUUGGUUGAGAAUUGCACAGUGGAUGCGAGCAUCUUUUUUGCUUUGUGGUCAAGUUGCUGAGGGCGUACGGUGGAUGCCUUGGCACCAGGAGCCGAUGAAGGACGUGGGAGGCCGCGAUAGGCCUGGGGGAGCUGUCAACCGAGCUGUGAUCCCAGGGUGU
rnacentral:sRNA from 1 species